rnacentral:rRNA from 1 species
UACAGAGGUCUCAAGCGUUGUUCGGAUUCAUUGGGCGUAAAGGGCGCGUAGGCGGCGGGGUAAGUCGGGUGUGAAAUCUCAGGGCUCAACCCUGAAACUGCACUCGAUACUGCUCUGCUUGAGGACUGGAGAGGAGACUGGAAUUCACGGUGUAGCAGUGAAAUGCGUAGAUAUCGUGAGGAAGACCAGUGGCGAAGGCGGGUCUCUGGACAGUUCCGUGACGC